CAACUUGGUGUCAAGUCUUUCCUUCAAUCAAAUAGGUUUUUGAAAUGGGGAGAUGAACUAGGGGCUUGCUCCAUCCAUUCCAUGCAUCAACCUAGUAUUGCAGUAUCUCUGAGUAUGGUGC
rnacentral:snRNA from 1 species